rnacentral:rRNA from 1 species
CUUGAAUAAAUAUAAGAGGUCCAGCCUGCCCAGUGACCAUGUUCAACGGCCGCGGUAUCCUAACCGUGCGAAGGUAGCGUAAUCACUUGUUCUUUAAAUAGGGACUAGUAUGAAUGGCAUCACGAAGGUUACACUGUCUCCUUUUUCUAAUCAGUGAAACUAAUCUCCUCGUGAAGAAACGAGGAUAAAUAUAUAAGACGAGAAGACCCUAUGGAGCUUCAAACUAUAAAGCACCUGCCCUAGCAUUAUUAAAUUUCAGAAAACUACAACCACCCAGGCAAGAUGACCUUUAGUUUUAGGUUGGGGUGACCGCGGAGCAAAAAAAAACCUCCACAUUGAAAGGAGCUCACUCCUUAGCCAAGAGCCACACCUCUAAGCACCAACAAAAAGACAUCAAUUGACCCAAUAUUUUGAUCAACGAAC